rnacentral:misc_RNA from 1 species
AGCAGCCGCGGUAAUUCCAGCUCCAAUAGCGUAUAUUAAAGUUGUUGCAGUUAAAAAGCUCGUAGUUGAAUUUCGGGGUCAGUAGGCUGGUCAUGCCACUGGUAUGUACUGGUUUCACUGAUUCCUCCUUCCUGAUGAACCGUAAUGCCAUUAAUUUGGUGUUGCGGGGAGUCUGGACUGUUACUUUGAAAAAUUAGAGUGUUUAAAGCAGGCUAACGCUUGAAUACAUUAGCAUGGAAUAAUGAAAUAGGACGAUCGAUCCUAUUUUGUUGGUUUCUAGGAUCGACGUAAUGAUUAAUAGGGAUAGUUGGGGGCAUUAGUAUUCAAUUGUCAGAGGUGAAAUUCUUGGAUUUAUUGAGGACUAACUACUGCGAAAGCAUUUGCCAAGGAUGUUUUCAUUAAUCAAGAACGAAAGUUAGGGGAUCGAAGACGAUCAGAUACCGUCGUAGUCUUAACCAUAAACUAUGCCGACUAGGGAUCGGAUGAUGUUAAUUUUUAAUGUA